UUUGUUUGGUAAAAGAAAUGUCCAAAGAUACAGAUAUUUAGUGAUAAUGGAAGUAGCUCCUAAAUGUGUAAUUGUGGAAGAAAUAAGAUUUCUGGCAGGGUGGGAGUAGGAGGCUUGUUUCAUGACAGAUAUUGAGUUAUAAUUAUCUGAGUGAACUUCUCAGAAUUUAAAAACAUGUUUUCCAUCUGUGAAUAUUCUUGAUAGGCUCCACUGUAAAGGACUUAUUUAGUUCUCAGGUAGGAUCUACUGUAUAGAUGUUAGUCAGCUUUCUUUUCUGUAAAGGAAAUCACCUCAGGGCUUUUUAAAAAGGAGUUAUGAACAGCAUCGCCAUAGUAGAAGGAAUACAAUUUUUUUAUGAACAUAUAUUUGCUCUGCCACGGUGAACCUGAUUACUGUUAUGCAUAAAGAUCAGUAUACUAGCAUUAGCAACUGAUUCUGAGAACCAAUAUUGUCCCAUGCCGUAGAUAUUUUUCUUGCAAGAGUCUCCAAAGCUGUUCUUGUUACAUUUGGAACAGACCAAGAAGUGUGAAUAAAUGCAGAACAGUCAGAUCAUUUCCCUUUAACUGGCCUAAGGGAUUAAAGGAAUGCAGAGGGAUUUUAAACCAAGCAGUUCUUCUGUGUUGCCUGACUUCACUUCUUGUACUUGAAGGGGACCCAGCUCAGAACCAAAAGAGAGAGCCUGCCUUGGAAACGUCAAAAGUGUGCAUUUCUGUUCAUCACCCUCCCAUGGAAUCAAUUGCUGACAUCUCUUUUAGAUCAUUUCUUUUAUUCUGCAUCAUUUUACUCUUUUUCAUUUCAAGUCUGAUCAUGAAAUGCUCCUGUUAGAAGGCAAUGAUCUUGCUAAUUGACAUCUUUAGUGGAAAUUGAGGAUUUUUUUUGGGUUUGUUUAAAUUUUUAAUGUAUCCAAGUCUCAUGUACGAGUGGACUAAACUUUUUUAACAUACUGCAAAGCAGCAGUACUUCCGUAUACAGGAUACCAGAAAAUAAAUGGAACCUGUAAUGAACCUUGGAGUGGGCCUGAUCUAGCAUGCUCCCUGGCUAAAGCAAUGCGCUGAAAUGGCAGAGCAGUAACAUGAAGCCAUGAUGCUCAAGCACAGCACAGAAAGAUUUCCUUGUCUCAAAAACCAGCAUCUGCGAAGGACUUCUUAUCAUAUGCUCCCCUGAGUCACAGUGUCAUGUCAGGUGGAGAGAGUACCUGUGGAUCCAGACUUCCUGGGUUGCUUUUCUCAGCUGGAAUGGCAUGGCCCCUCCCCUGGAUAGACUUUUCCUCUGCCUAGCUCCUGGUCACCUAUGACCUGAGCCAUACUUGAAAAGUUUAUAUGGCAACUCAGUUGUUCCCUGCCCCAUUCCUUGGUAUGUUUCAUGCCAAAGCUAGCACAUUCUUAUCAUCAAAUAGGAUUUCAUGGUCUACAAGAAUGUGACUGGAAGAGAAUUAAAGAGGCUUGGCUGUG